GUUGUUGUAGCCCGAGUGGUUAAGGCGAUAGACUAGAUCUUUUGGGAUCUUCCCGCGCAGGUUCAAAUCCUGCCCACAAUG
rnacentral:tRNA from 1 species